ensembl:lncRNA
CCUAAUCUUGCUUAUCUAUAAUGCUUAGCCCCUUUAUAGACAUCUUCCUGAUGUCAAGCGUGACAAGAAAGUAAUUAAAAUGGAGAACUUCCCAUAUAUGUUUUAGAAAUGAAUUGGGAAGCCCUUGAAUCACUGGUCUUGCAUGAUCUAGCGCUUUACCACUCCCUGCUUUAAGGGGAGACUCUCUGUUUGGAAGUCUGAUCAGGUUGCAAUCUACAAAAUCACAGCUCUGGAAAGAACUCCCUAUUCGAUAUGCAUCCAUAGAGACAUGAGUAUAUUAUUCCUUCCAAAGUCAGCUGCAAUUGAAGCUCACUAAAUUGACUCCACAUCUUCCUAUCUCAGGCAGUGACAGAGGAAUAGCAAGUAUUUUUUACUAAAAUGCUCUUUUUUAACCAACCCCUUUUUUGAAGAUUUCUCUAUCAUUGAUGCAGAGGACAUGAUCUUUACUUCAUAGAAGAUGGCAGAACACCAGCAAAUCAGUGUUUGAGUCCAGGGGCUGCUGUCAGUGCAUCAAAUGCUUAUCCAGCAACUGUGUCUUUUGCCAGCAAUGUCAUGCAGAGUUGAGGACAGAAUUUAUUGUAAAUGUUGAAACCUUCUUGGCAAAAUAAUAUAAACCAGCAUCUGCAGCUCGAUGGACCUUUCAAGCCCUCCCAAGGAUUUGCCUUAUGGAUACCGUGGCUGGUGUAUCGCCCUUUGCUCCUUACAGACAUAGUCCAAAUAGCCAUCCACAAAUACCAAAUGCCUACAGGCUAGGCAUUUUAUAUUGGUUGAUCCCUAGAUUUAUUUAAGGUCGUUCUCCUUAUUUUUCCUUUUUCUACCUCUAGUUAAUAUUCUUUUGCUGCAUUUUAGUCAUCUGGGAAACCAUUUUUAUAAAAAAGAAGGCUAAUAAUAUUGCUACUUAAGGGAAAGAGUUUAUUACCCCAAAGCCUCAGAAAAGCCUGACUUAUCCUAUAGGAAGCUGGUAAAAAUGAGAAAAAAUUUCUGCUUGGUUUCUCAAAAAGAUUCAAAAAGGAAAAGUUAAAGAGCUUCUUUGAAUAAAGAGCAAGCAAGCAUAGAAAAAAAAUCAAAGCUGAGAUAAAGUCAGAUACAAAUAUAGCUAAAAUAAGGAAAUAGUAUAAGAAAAAAUAUAAUAUAAAAAUGUAAAUUUGCUUUGAUAUUGAUUAUAGACAGCAUAAAUAAUUUCUAAAUUCAUAUCUAUGCUAUGAAAGACACAGGAGAUACCCAUUCAGAAGCAGAGUAAAAAAUGCAGAGGUAAUAAAAAAUAUGAACGGCUUAUAUGCGAAGUCAGACUUGGAUAGUAAUUUUCCAAAUUCAGAAACCAGGGCAGUAUGAGGGAAGCAAUAGUCAUGGAUCUAACAGACAAAACUUUUCUGAGUAAAGAAAAAUCAUGACUCAAAGUGAAUUACCAGGGUCUAGGCAAAAUUAGUUAGAAGAACCUACAUCUAAAUCUGGAGUAGGAAAUGGCAACCCACUCCAGUAUUCUUGCCUGGGAAAUCCCAUUGACAGAAGGGCCUGGUGGGCUAUAGUCCAUGGGGUUACAAAGAGUUGGACAUGACUGAUCAACUAAGCAACCACAUCUAAAUGAACAGUAAUUAUUUUUAAAACUUA